UACGUAGGUGGCAAGCGUUGUCCGGAAUUAUUGGGCGUAAAGCGCGCGCAGGUGGUUCCUUUAAGUCUGAUGUGAAAAGCCCACGGCUCAACCGUGGAGGGUCAUUGGAAACUGGGGAACUUGAGUGCAGAAGAGGAAAAGUGGAAUUCCAAGUGUAGCGGUGAAAUGCGUAGAGAUUUGGAAGGAACACCAGUGGCGAAGGCGACUUUCUGGUCUGUAACUGACACUGAGCGCGAAAAGCGUGGGGAGCGAACAGG
rnacentral:rRNA from 1 species